rnacentral:snRNA from 1 species
GUGUUUUCUUUCUUGGUUGUCACAUAUACUAAAAUUGGAAUGAUACAGAGAAGAAUAGCUAUGUCUCUGUACCAGGAUGACAAAAAGCCAUGAAGUGUUCGUAUUUUUA